rnacentral:rRNA from 1 species
GAUGAACGCUGGCGGCGUGCCUAAUACAUGCAAGUCGAGCGAAGAGACGAGGAGCUUGCUCCUCUGACGUUAGCGGCGGACGGGUGAGUAACACGUGGAUAACCUACCUAUAAGACUGGGAUAAGUUCGGGAAACCGGAGCUAAUACCGGAUAAUAUAUUGAACCGCAUGGUUCAAUAGUGAAAGACGGUUUUUCUGUCACUUAUAGAUGGAUCCGCGCCGGAUUAGCUAGUUGGUAAGGUAACGGCUUAGCAAGGCAACGAUGGGUAGCCGAACUCAGAGGGUGAUCGCCCACCCUGGAGGUGAGCCGCGGACCAGGGGCCUACGGGAGGCAGCAGUAGGGUAUCUGCGGCAAUGGGGGGGAGUUUGACGGAGCGGGGCAGAGUGUGUGAUGAAGAUGUUGGGUUCGUGAAAAUCGGUUACCGGUGAAGAACAAAUGUGUAAGUGGAAGAACCCGUAGUGACGGUACCUGAACAGAAAGCCACGGCUAACUACGUG